rnacentral:rRNA from 1 species
AUACGGAGGAUGCGAGCGUUAUCCGGAUUCAUUGGGUUUAAAGGGUGCGUAGGCGGAGUGAUAAGUCAGUGGUGAAAUCCUGCGGCUUAACCGUAGAACUGCCGUUGAUACUGUCAUUCUUGAGUACAGUUGAGGUGGGUGGAAUGUGUAAUGUAGCGGUGAAAUGCAUAGAGAUUACACAGAACGCCAAUUGCGAAGGCAGCUCACUAAGCUGUUACUGACGCUGAGGCACGAAAGCGUGGGGAUCAAACAGGAUUAGAUACCCUGGUAGUCCACGCCGUAAACGAUGAUCACUCGCUGUUGGCGAUAUACUGUCAGCGGCCGAGCAAAAGCAUUAAGUGAUCCACCUGGGGAGUACGACCGCAAGGUUGAA